CUUGCCCUCUGUCGGCAUUCCUAACACAUGCAAGUCGAACGAGUGGCGGACGGGUGAGUAAUGUCUGGGAAACUGCCUGAUGGAGGGGGAUAACUACUGGAAACGGUAGCUAAUACCGCAUACCAUCAGAUGUGCCCAGAUGGGAUUAGCUUGUUGGUGGGUUAACGGCUCACCAAGGCGACGAUCCCUAGCUGGUCUGAGAGGAUGACCAGCCACACUGGAACUGAGCCACGGUCCAGACUCCUACGGGAGGCAGCAGUGGGGAAUAUUGAACAAGGGGCGAAAGCCUGAUGCAGCCAUGCCGCGUGUAUGAAGAAGGCCUUCGGGUUGUAAAGUACUUUCAGCGGGGAGGCGUUACCCGCAGAAGAAGCACCGGCUAACUCCGUGCCAGCAGCCGCGGGAAUAC
rnacentral:rRNA from 1 species